rfam:Stachybotrys chlorohalonata IBT 40285 unplaced genomic scaffold scaffold823, whole genome shotgun sequence.
GCUUGCAUGGUCUAAUGGUUAUGACUCCAGAUUCUGAUUCUGGCAGCGGCGGUUCGAUUCCGCCUGUGAGCU